rnacentral:rRNA from 1 species
CCAUACGACCGUACCGCAAACCGACACUGGUGCGCGAGAUGAGUAUUCUAAGGCGCUUGAGGGAACUCAGGAGAAGGAACUCGGCAAAUUGACACCGUAACUUCGGAAGAAGGUGUGCCCUAUUAGUGUGUAGUGAACAACGAAGCAUGAAUGGGUUGCAAAAAAUCGGUGGCUGCGACUGUUUAUUAAAAACACAGCACUCUGCAAACACGAAAGUGGACGUAUAGGGUGUGACGCCUGCCCGGUGCUGGAAGAUUAAAUGAUGGGGUGCAAGCUCUUGAUUGAAGUCCCAGUAAACGGCGGCCGUAACUAUAACGGUCCUAAGGUAGCGAAAUUCCUUGUCGGGUAAGUUCCGACCUGCACGAAUGGCGUAACGAUGGCCACACUGUCUCCUCCUGAGACUCAGCGAAGUUGAAAUGUUUGUGAUGAUGCAAUCUCCCCGCGGAAAGACGGAAAGACCCCAUGAACCUUUACUGUAGCUUUGUAUUGGACUUUGAACAGAUCUGUGUAGGAUAGGUGGGAGGCUUUGAAGCAGGGUCGCUAGAUCUUGUGGAGCCAACGUUGAAAUACCACCCUGGUGUGUUUGAGGUUCUAACCUAGGUCCAUUAUCUGGAUCGGGGACAGUGCAUGGUAGGCAGUUUGACUGGGGCGGUCUCCUCCCAAAGCGUAACGGGGGAGUUCGAAGGUACGCUAGUUACGGUCGGACAUCGUGACGAUAGUGCAAUGGCAUAAGCGUGCUUAACUGCGAGACUGACAAGUCGAGCAGAUGCGAAAGCAGGACAUAGUGAUCCGGUGGUUCUGUAUGGAAGGGCCAUCGCUCAACGGAUAAAAGGUACUCUGGGGAUAACAGGCUGAUACCGCCCAAGAGUUCAUAUCGACGGCGGUGUUUGGCACCUCGAUGUCGGCUCAUCUCAUCCUGGGGCUGUAGCCGGUCCCAAGGGUAUGGCUGUUCGCCAUUUAAAGAGGUACGUGAGCUGGGUUUAAAACGUCGUGAGACAGUUUGGUCCCUAUCUUCCGUGGGCGCUGCAGAUUUGAGGAAGCCUGCUCCUAGUACGAGAGGACCGGAGUGGACACACCUCUGGUGUAUCGGUUGUCACGCCAGUGGCAUUGCCGAGUAGCUAAGUGUGGAAGAGAUAACCGCUGAAAGCAUCUAAGCGGGAAACUCGUUUCAAGAUGAGAUCUGCCGGGGCCUUGAGCCCCCUAAAGAGUCGUUCAAGACCAGGACGUUGAUAGGUCAGGUGUGGAAGCG